UGCGUAGGCGGCGCGGUAAGUCGGGUGUGAAAUCUCGGAGCUUAACUUCGAAACUGCAUUCGAUACUGCCGUGCUUGAGGACUGGAGAGGAGACUGGAAUUUACGGUGUAGCGGUGAAAUGCGUAGAUAUCGUAAGGAAGACCAGUGGCGAAGGCGGGUCUCUGGACAGUUCCUGACGCUGAGGCACGAAGGCCAGGGAGCAAAC
rnacentral:rRNA from 1 species